AGUGAACGCUGGCGGUAGGCCUAACACAUGCAAGUCGAACGGCAGCACAGUAAGAGCUUGCUCUUACGGGUGGCGAGUGGCGGACGGGUGAGGAAUACAUCGGAAUCUACUUUUUCGUGGGGGAUAACGUAGGGAAACUUACGCUAAUACCGCAUACGACCUACGGGUGAAAGCAGGGGAUCUUCGGACCUUGCGCGAUUGAAUGAGCCGAUGUCGGAUUAGCUAGUUGGCGGGGUAAAGGCCCACCAAGGCGACGAUCCGUAGCUGGUCUGAGAGGAUGAUCAGCCACACUGGAACUGAGACACGGUCCAGACUCCUACGGGAGGCAGCAGUGGGGAAUAUGAGACAAUGGGCGCAAGCCUGAUCCAGCCAUACCGCGUGGGUGAAGAAGGCCUUCGGGUUGUAAAGCCCUUUUGUUGGGAAAGAAAAGCAGCAGGUUAAUACCCCGCUGUUCUGACGGUACCCAAAGAAUAAGCACCGGCUAACUUCGUG
rnacentral:rRNA from 1 species